AAGUUAUAAAGCUAUUCGAUAUAUAAGUAACACUCGUGUAACACUUUGGUUUUAUGUAACACUUGGUUGUAACACUUUUAUAUUAGGUAGCACUUAGUUGUAACACUUUAAUUUUAGGUACCAUUUGAUUGUAACACUUUCAAUUUAAAAGCAUAUGAUAAAAAUAAUAAUAAAAAAAUAUUUUAUCACUUCUCUCUUUCCCCCUUUACUCUUUCCCAAUUCCUUGAUCUCAAUUUUCCCUCUCUUUAAAACUCAGUUUCUCACUCACCGCCUCAACAGCCACCCCACGUUGGCGCCCACCCAUUGGCCAAUGAAUGAAGUUCUCACCGGCCACCUUACGUCCCCACCCACUGGCCAAAGAAGUCCGUUACCCCACGAGCACACGGGUUGAGUGACGAAAGGGGCUUUCUGUUGGAAAACCCUAGAUGAAUAUUCAAUAGAAACUUUGAUGAUAGAUGAGAUUAUGAUGGAGCUAGAUGAUGUGAUAAAUCAAUAACGAGCACCAUCAAUCAUGAAUUGAAGAAGGGCAUAGGAAAAUUGGGUGGUUGAUUUUAGCGAAGAGAGAGAACAAGGACAUAGGCUGGCUUCAAACCUUGUAGACGCCUCAAUGGCUUCAUCUUUGACCAGGAAUCCUUGCUUUUGCCCACUAGUAGGACCUGUCCAGAGUAAGGCUUAAAAAUAGUUCAACUUGGCCAUCUUCUUCUAUUAUUUUGCUGCUGAUAUCCGCUACUGCUAUCUAGUGCUACUGUUAUCUGAUGCUACAUCUGCUGCUGGUAUAGAUGUCAGCUAUUACUAGCUGUUGUUACUGCUUAGUGGUUGCUACUAUCUGCUAUUAUUACUCCUGCUUAUUGUGCUGACUGUUUUUGGAAUUUGGGGGGCUAGAGAUCGGAGUUGACUUUCUUUUUAUUUUGAUUAUUAUUGGUUGGCCAAACAAAAAAUUUGGUAUUUAUGUAUGUAAUUUGUAAGAACUAUGAAAUUAUUUCAAUUAAAAUUAUUGUCUAUUGUAUAUGUUAA